UCUGAUGCAACUAACCGUCCAUGGCGGUGCAAAAUAAAAUCCAGAGCCCAAAACAAAACCUGAUGAGUGUCCAAUCCCCAUCACUUGCUCCAGUGCUCUAAUCCUAGCUUCUGUGGAACUGUCCAUUGUUGACUGGAUCAAAAUCUCAAAACCAACGUACAUAAAUGCGACUUAUCUCAGCAACCAAUCAGCCAUGUUAUUCAACAUCAAUCAUCUCAAAUCAACCUCACCUAUUUGCCUUUG
rnacentral:lncRNA from 1 species